rnacentral:rRNA from 1 species
CACGUAGGGGGCAAGCGUUGUCCGGAUUUAUUGGGCGUAAAGGGCGCGUAGGCGGGAUGGCAAGUCGGUCGUGAAAUCCCUCGGCUCAACCGAGGAACGUCGAUCGAUACUGCUGUUCUUGAGGAUUGCAGAGGAGACUGGAAUUCCCGGUGUAGCGGUGAAAUGUGUAGAGAUCGGGAGGAACACCGGUGGCGAAGGCGGGUCUCUGGGCAAUUCCUGACGCUGAGGCGCGAAAGCGUGGGGAGCAAACGGG